rnacentral:lncRNA from 11 species
CUCCCCUACCCCCGCGAAUUUGAAAAAGCAAUAAAACAAACAACAGUUCAAAUAAAUGAGGGAGCCAAUUCUGUCUGUGAGAUGGCUUGGCCCCCUAAAGCUAUUGAUUUCACAGCCUGGAACAGGUGAGUACAAGCAGCUGGGUGAGCGACAAUUCCAUUUGGACGCAAUCCCAGCUUUUCAUACGUUCCUCUUCUUCAGCUUUAGCUGUUGUUUCCCAGGUGCAAGAAACUGCGUCUCCCCCCAGUGCCAAAUCCCAUCAGACUUGUGGUUUGGGAGCCAUCAGGAAAGGAAAUCAAAGAACAUCUGA